UAUCCUGUCUGAAUAUGGGGGGACCAUCCUCCAAGGCUAAAUACUCCUGACUGACCGAUAGUGAACCAGUACCGUGAGGGAAAGGCGAAAAGAACCCCGGCGAGGGGAGUGAAAAAGAACCUGAAACCGUGUACGUACAAGCAGUGGGAGCACCCUUUGGGUGUGACUGCGUACCUUUUGUAUAAUGGGUCAGCGACUUAUAUUCUGUAGCAAGGUUAACCGAAUAGGGGAGCCGGAGGGAAACCGAGUCUUAACCGGGCGUUAAGUUGCAGGGUAUAGACCCGAAACCCGGUGAUCUAGCCAUGGGCAGGUUGAAGGUUGGGUAACACUAACUGGAGGACCGAACCGACUAAUGUUGAAAAAUUAGCGGAUGACCUGUGGCUGGGGGUGAAAGGCCAAUCAAACCGGGAGAUAGCUGGUUCUCCCCGAAAGCUAUUUAGGUAGCGCCUCGUGAAUUCAUCUCCGGGGGUAGAGCACUGUUUCGGCUAGGGGGCCAUCCCGGCUUACCAACCCGAUGCAAACUGCGAAUACCGGAGAAUGUUAUCACGGGAGACACACGGCGGGUGCUAACGUCCGUCGUGAAGAGGGAAACAACCCAGACCGCCAGCUAAGGUCCCAAAGUCAUGGUUAAGUGGGAAACGAUGUGGGAAGGCCCAGACAGCCAGGAUGUUGGCUUAGAAGCAGCCAUCAUUUAAAGAAAGCGUAAUAGCUCACUGGUCGAGUCGGCCUGCGCGGAAGAUGUAACGGGGCUAAACCAUGCACCGAAGCUGCGGCAGCGACACUGUGUGUUGUUGGGUAGGGGAGCGUUCUGUAAGCCUGUGAAGGUGUGUCGUGAGGCAUGCUGGAGGUAUCAGAAGUGCGAAUGCUGACAUAAGUAACGAUAAAGCGGGUGAAAAGCCCGCUCGCCGGAAGACCAAGGGUUCCUGUCCAACGUUAAUCGGGGCAGGGUGAGUCGACCCCUAAGGCGAGGCCGAAAGGCGUAGUCGAUGGGAAACGGGUUAAUAUUCCCGUACUUGGUGUUACUGCGAAGGGGGGACGGAGAAGGCUAUGUUGGCCGGGCGACGGUUGUCCCGGUUUAAGCGUGUAGGUGUGUGUUCCAGGUAAAUCCGGUUCACUUUAACACUGAGGCGUGACGACGAGGCACUACGGUGCUGAAGCAACAAAUGCCCUGCUUCCAGGAAAAGCCUCUAAGCAUCAGGUAACAUCAAAUCGUACCCCAAACCGACACAGGUGGUCAGGUAGAGAAUACCAAGGCGCUUGAGAGAACUCGGGUGAAGGAACUAGGCAAAAUGGUGCCGUAACUUCGGGAGAAGGCACGCUGACACGUAGGUGAAGUGAUUUACUCAUGGAGCUGAAGUCAGUCGAAGAUACCAGCUGGCUGCAACUGUUUAUUAAAAACACAGCACUGUGCAAACACGAAAGUGGACGUAUACGGUGUGACGCCUGCCCGGUGCCGGAAGGUUAAUUGAUGGGGUCAGCGCAAGCGAAGCUCCUGAUCGAAGCCCCGGUAAACGGCGGCCGUAACUAUAACGGUCCUAAGGUAGCGAAAUUCCUUGUCGGGUAAGUUCCGACCUGCACGAAUGGCGUAAUGAUGGCCAGGCUGUCUCCACCCGAGACUCAGUGAAAUUGAACUCGCUGUGAAGAUGCAGUGUACCCGCGGCAAGACGGAAAGACCCCGUGAACCUUUACUAUAGCUUGACACUGAACAUUGAGCCUUGAUGUGUAGGAUAGGUGGGAGGCUUUGAAGUGUGGACGCCAGUCUGCAUGGAGCCGACCUUGAAAUACCACCCUUUAAUGUUUGAUGUUCUAACGUGGACCCGUUACCCGGGUUGCGGACAGUGUCUGGUGGGUAGUUUGACUGGGGCGGUCUCCUCCUAAAGAGUAACGGAGGAGCACGAAGGUUGGCUAAUCCUGGUCGGACAUCAGGAGGUUAGUGCAAUGGCAUAAGCCAGCUUGACUGCGAGCGUGACGGCGCGAGCAGGUGCGAAAGCAGGUCAUAGUGAUCCGGUGGUUCUGAAUGGAAGGGCCAUCGCUCAACGGAUAAAAGGUACUCCGGGGAUAACAGGCUGAUACCGCCCAAGAGUUCAUAUCGACGGCGGUGUUUGGCACCUCGAUGUCGGCUCAUCACAUCCUGGGGCUGAAGUAGGUCCCAAGGGUAUGGCUGUUCGCCAUUUAAAGUGGUACGCGAGCUGGGUUUAGAACGUCGUGAGACAGUUCGGUCCCUAUCUGCCGUGGGCGCUGGAGAACUGAGGGGGGCUGCUCCUAGUACGAGAGGACCGGAGUGGACGCAUCACUGGUGUUCGGGUUGUCAUGCCAAUGGCACUGCCCGGUAGCUAAAUGCGGAAGAGAUAAGUGCUGAAAGCAUCUAAGCACGAAACUUGCCCCGA
rnacentral:rRNA from 1 species